rnacentral:rRNA from 1 species
GCGUUAGACGAACGGUCUGGAAAGUCCGACGAUACAGGGUGAUAGUCCCGUAGUUGACGACGUGUGUUCAGUGAAAUCGAGUAGGGCGGGACACGUGAUAUCCUGUCUGAAUAUGGGGGGACCAUCCUCCAAGGCUAAAUACUACUGACUGACCGAUAGUGAACCAGUACCGUGAGGGAAAGGCGAAAAGAACCCCUGUGAGGGGAGUGAAAUAGAACCUGAAACCGUGUACGUACAAGCA